GCGGUCUCUUGUUGCUGUGCUAACGACCGUUGGAACCCUCUUUCUGGCUCUUGGAACGCUCGGCUCUGAGAGGCUCCAGGUUUCUCCGCCAGAGCUCCUGUCGCUCUGUCAGUUGCGCUGUGUUCCUCUCUAGUCACAAGAGCCUUGGGGAAGACAGUUGGAAGCUCAGACAUGAGAAAUAUGAUUCCACAGGACAAUGAAAACCCACCCCAACAGGGUGAAGCAAAUCAAAAUGACUCAGUGGCCUUUGAGGAUGUGGCUGUGAACUUCACCCCAGACGAGUGGGCUUUGCUGGAUCCUUCCCAAAAGAAUCUCUACCGAGAAGUGAUGCAAGAAACCUUGAGGAACUUGGCCUCUAUAGGGAAGAAAUGGAAAGACCAGAACAUUGAAAAUGAGUACAAAAAUCCCAGGAGCAACCUAAGAGGUCUUAUGGAAGAGAGACUCUUUGAAAGUGAAGGUCAUCAGCAUGGAGAAAUUUUGACCCAGGUUCUGGAUGACAUGCUGAAGAAGAAAACUGGAGUAGAAUCAUGUGAAAGGAAUGUGUGUGAGGUCAGCAUGGGUCAUUUAUCCCUUAAUAAGCACACCAGAGCUGACACUGGACACAAGCCAUAUGAGUAUCAGGAAUAUGGACAGACGCCAUAUAAAUGUACAUACUGUAAGAAAGCCUUCAGCUGUCUCCCCUACUUUUGCAGACAUGUAAUUGCACACACUGGAGAAAAACCCUAUGAAUGUAAGGAUUCUGCGAAGACAUUUAGUUUUUCCAUUUAUUUUCAUAGUCAUAAAAGAGCUCACUCUGGAGGGAACCCCUAUGAAUGUAAACAAUCUGGAAAACCCUUUGGAUGCGCCUCAGAACUUCAAAUGCAUGCAAGGACUCAGUGUGGAGAAACCUUACAAAUGUAAGAAAUGUGAAAAAGCAUUUAAUAACUUAUCUUCCUUUCAAAUACAUGAAAGAAUGCACAGAGGAGGGAAGUAUCAUGCCUGUAAGGGUUCUGGGAAUACAUACCGUUUUUCUGGUUUCUAUCAUAGACAUAAAAUGCCUCAUGCUGGCGGGAAGUUUUAUGGAUGUAAGAAAUGUGGGAAAGCCUUUAUUAGUUUCUGUGCCUUUCGAUACCAUCAAAGGACUCACACUAAAGAGAAACCCUAUGCGUGUAAACAAUGUGGGAAAGCCUAUAUUUCUUACACUUCUUUUCAAUAUCAUCAGUUGAAUCACACUGGAGCGAAAUGCUAUGAGUGUAAGCAGUGUGGCAAAGGCUUCGAUUUGCCCAAUUCCAUUCGAUAUCAUGAAAUGACUCACACUGGGGAGAAACCCCAUGAAUGUAAGCAAUGUGGGAAAACUUUCAGAUGUGCCUCAAGCCUCCGAAUACAUGGAAGGACUCACACUGGGGAGAAACCCUAUGAAUGUAAACAGUGUGGUAAAGUCUCUCGUUAUUGGAGCGGCCUUCAGGUACAUGAAGUAACUCAUAUUGGAAAAAAGCUUUAUGAAUGUAAGGAAUGUGGGAAAUCAUACUAUAGUUCUGGUUCCUUUCUAAAUCAUAAAAGGAUCCACACCAGGGAGAAGUCUUAUGAAUGCAAGGAAUGUGGGAAAGCAUUUGGUAAUCCCAUAUCCUUUCAAAAACAUGAAGGGAGUCACAGAAAAUGGAAGCCUUAUGAAUGUAAGGAAUGUGGGAAGGUAUUCAGUUUUUCCAGUUCCCUUCGGAGACAUGAAAGGACACACACUGAAAAACUCUGUGAAUGUAAACAGCAUGGGAAAGGAUUUUUUCAUAGAAGCUGUCCUAGACACAUGAAGAUAGACACUGGAGAGAUACUUCAUAAACGUAAGAUACGUGGAAAAGUCUUUCAUUCUCCUAGUUCAUUUCAAACAUGUGAAAGAUCUCACACUAGAGAAAAACGCUAUAAAUGCAAGCAAUGUGGAAAACCCUUCAUUUAUUUCAAUGCCUUUCAACGUCAUCAAAGGAGCCACACUGGAGAGAACCCCUAUGAGUGUAAGCAAUGUGGGAAAGCCUGUAUUUCUUCCACUGCUUUUCAGUGUCGUGAAUUGAGUCACACUGGAGCAAAACGCUAUAAGUGUAAGCAGUGUGGCAAAGGCUUCAAUUUGCCCAGUUCCAUUCGAUAUCAUGAAAUGACUCACACUGGAGAGAAACCCUAUGAAUGUAAGCAAUGUGGGAGAGCUUUCAGAUCUGCCUCACACCUACGAACACAUGAAAGGACUCACAUUGGGGAGAAACCCUAUGAAUGUAAACAGUGUGGUAAAGUCUAUCGUUACUGGAGUGGCCUUCGAAUACAUGGACUAACUCAUAUUGGAAAAAAGCCUUAUGAAUUUAAUGACCGUGGGAAAUCAUUCUAUAGUUCCAAUUUCUUUCUAAAUCAUAAAAGGGUCCACACUAGAGUGAAGACAUAUGAAUGCAAGGAAUGUGGGAAAGCAUUUGAUAAUCCUACAUCCUUUCAAAAACAUGAAGGGAGUCACAGAAAAGGGAAGUCUUAUGAAUGUAAGGAAUGUGGGAAGGUAUUCAGUUUUUCCCGUUCCUUUCGUAGAUAUGAAAGGGCACACACUGGCGAAAAGCCCUGUGAAUAAACAAUGUGGGAAAGGAUUUUUCAUAUCUUCUGUGGAGCUUUGAAUGCAUGAAAAGACAGACUACAGAGAAAUGCUAAAUGUAAGGCGUGUAUAAAAGCAUUUAGUAAUUUCUCUUCCUUGCUUAUACAUGGAAGGAUGCACACUGGAGAGAAGCCAUAUGAAUGUAAGAAUUGUGGGAAAGCCUUCACAUCUGCCAAGAGCCUUCAAAAUCAUGGAAGGACACACACCGGAGAGAAACCAUGUGAAUGCAAGCAAUGUGGCAAAGCUUUCAUUUGUUCCAGUUCCUGUCAGAGACAUGAAGAGACACAUUCUGUUAAUAUGCAUUCAGUUAUCCUAAUUCCUUUGAAACACAGAAAAAGAGUAGGGAAAGGACCUCUGAGAUAACUGUUUUCUGAGUUGAGAAGAGCUACUUGUGAAUGGACAAUUAAAUCUAGAUGUAUUUAGAUCUGAUACAAUUCAUCUGUAGCCAACCUUUUUUUAAAUUUUUUUAUUUUUUAGAUGGAGUCUUGCUCUGUCGCCCAGACUGGAGUGCAGUGGCACGAUCUUGGCUCACUGCAACCUCCGCCUCCUGGGUUUAAGCAAUUCUCCUGCCUCAGCCUCCCAAGUAGCUGGGAUUACAGGUAACCGCCAUCACGCCUGGCUAAUUUUAGAGAUGGAGUUUCACCAUGUUGGCCAGGCUGGUCUCAAACUCCUGACCUCAAGUGAUCCACCCACCUCGGCCUCCCAAAGUGCUGGGAUUACAGGCGUGAGCCACUGCGCCCUGCCACCUAUAGCCAAUCUUAAUGAGAUUUCAUAGGCACAGACAAGGAAGGUUAUCAGUCACAUAUUAGAGGCACCACACAGGGAGAGCAGUGUGUGGCCACAUGCUUCAGCCCAUUUUUUCUGAUUCUCUUGCUUGCAAAUUAAGAGUAUUCUCCAAAUCACUUGACUUUCCUUUUCUCAGAGUUAUAGUUCUCCAGAGAUGUCACCAGAUGAUUCACAUUAAAGGUACAUUUCCAGUUGACUUUUUUAUUUCAGAUAUUAGUAAAUGAUUACCAGAGAACUAAUUCAAACUGUCAUGGUUGGAAAUACUCUGAUGCUCAACUCCCUAAUCUAUAGAGUGAGUUAAGGUCUAUACUCUUUUGCAAGCAUUGUUCUAGUGGCAGUGACCCUGUUCAUGAUUCAGCCUGACAUUUACUAUGCUGCCCUGAAAACCAACUAGAUGGGAGCUUGUUUCUCUCUGCAUUGUGUAGUGAGUGGUGUCACCCAGGACUUUCAUGUGAGAAAAAGCACCUUGCUUUUAAUCUGGGAAUUUUGAGUGUUUUUUGUAAUGCCUCAGUUUAUUCUUAUUUAUGGUUGAUUAUAUGUGAUUUAGAACA